GAUGAACGCUGGCGGCGUGCCUAAUACAUGCAAGUCGAGCGAACGGACGAGAAGCUUGCUUCUCUGAUGUUAGCGGCGGACGGGUGAGUAACACGUGGAUAACCUACCUAUAAGACUGGGAUAACUUCGGGAAACCGGAGCUAAUACCGGAUAAUAUUUUGAACCGCAUGGUUCAAAAGUGAAAGACGGUCUUGCUGUCACUUAUAGAUGGAUCCGCGCUGCAUUAGCUAGUUGGUAAGGUAACGGCUUACCAAGGCAACGAUGCAUAGCCGACCUGAGAGGGUGAUCGGCCACACUGGAACUGAGACACGGUCCAGACUCCUACGGGAGGCAGCAGUAGGGAAUCUUCCGCAAUGGGCGAAAGCCUGACGGAGCAACGCCGCGUGAGUGAUGAAGGUCUUCGGAUCGUAAACUCUGUUAUUAGGGAAGAACAUAUGUGUAAGUAACUGUGCACAUCUUGACGGUACCUAAUCAGAAAGCCACGGCUAACUACGUGCCAGCAGCCGCGGUAAUACGUAGGUGGGCAGCGUUAUCCGGAAUUUAUGGGCGUAAAGCGCGCGUAGGCGGUUUUUUAGUCUGAUGUGAAAGCCCACGGCUCAACCGUGGAGGGUCAUUGGAAACUGGAAAACUUGAGUGCAGAAGAGGAAAGUGGAAUUCCAUGUGUAGCGGUGAAAUGCGCAGAGAUAUGGAGGAACACCAGUGGCGAAGGCGACUUUCUGGUCUGUAACUGACGCUGAUGUGCGAAAGCGUGGGGAUCAAACAGGAUUAGAUACCCUGGUAGUCCACGCCGUAAACGAUGAGUGCUAAGUGUUAGGGGGUUUCCGCCCCUUAGUGCUGCAGCUAACGCAUUAAGCACUCCGCCUGGGGAGUACGACCGCAAGGUUGAAACUCAAAGGAAUUGACGGGGACCCGCACAAGCGGUGGAGCAUGUGGUUUAAUUCGAAGCAACGCGAAGAACCUUACCAAAUCUUGACAUCCUUUGACAACUCUAGAGAUAGAGCCUUCCCCUUCGGGGGACAAAGUGACAGGUGGUGCAUGGUUGUCGUCAGCUCGUGUCGUGAGAUGUUGGGUUAAGUCCCGCAACGAGCGCAACCCUUAAGCUUAGUUGCCAUCAUUAAGUUGGGCACUCUAAGUUGACUGCCGGUGACAAACCGGAGGAAGGUGGGGAUGACGUCAAAUCAUCAUGCCCCUUAUGAUUUGGGCUACACACGUGCUACAAUGGACAAUACAAAGGGCAGCGAAACCGCGAGGUCAAGCAAAUCCCAUAAAGUUGUUCUCAGUUCGGAUUGUAGUCUGCAACUCGACUACAUGAAGCUGGAAUCGCUAGUAAUCGUAGAUCAGCAUGCUACGGUGAAUACGUUCCCGGGUCU
rnacentral:rRNA from 1 species